AGGAAAAAGGAAACUGCUAGAACGAGGAGAGAGAUACGAACGGAGGAAAAGAAGAAAAAGGAUGAAAAAAGAAAGAGAAAGGAAGAUAAGGAGACAAAAGAGGAAGAGAAAAGGCAAAGAGAAAGAAAGAAAAGAGGAAGAGACAAGGGAAAAGAAAAAAAGGAGCCGCUAGAACGCGUCGACUCGGUUUGUUUACGUUUUGCCGCGGGGAGCUGCACGUGUGGGCGGCGUUCAAAAAGAUUUACGUUUAUUUCACGUUCCUGACCUCGCCCGCCUAUAAAAGGCGGGCGUGACAUCGGAGUUACCACAGUGUGCCUUCCCCAGGUCCUCGUUGCUCCAGGGCGUAGCUCCGUUACCCUGGGGGGCCUAUGGGGGUGCGGGGUACAGGCACCCAUCGCUCCGGGACACCUUGCCUCAGUGCUCAUCUCUGUCAAAUUAAAGACUCAAGAGCUGUGUGAAGAAGCUGAGCAGCGUCUCCCUGGCCUGGGCGUGGAGUGAGCUGGUCCCCUCAUCACCAGCACCAUAGACCAGGGGAUGAGGUGCUCCUGGCCCUCCGGCACACCCUCCUGGGCGGACCAGAGGAUGUCCACUGUGCUGGUCACUCCACACUCCUAUCAAGGCCGUGCUGGACAGGCUCAGUGACGACUCAGACACGUCAAAUAUCUUCCCUCAGAGGCACUGACAGGCUUCUACAGUGGUAGGGCUGAAACGACACAUCCUGGCGGGGGGCACCUUUGACAGCCCAGGACACACCUCCGCCCCCGCCAGCAACCUCAUCACCCGACUGCUAGUUCAGGACCCAGUGCAGUGGUCCAACUCAGAAGAGAUUGCUGCCACGAGUACCUGGCUAGUGCCCCCCCUCUUAUGUACUAGCCCUGACCUUCAGCGACGACCCCGACCCCAUGGAGGCUGUUCAAGGUGGUGGAGACCCUGUUGCAUGUUCAUCUGGUGGUGGAAUUCCCUGGCGGCGGCGGCGGCGAGCUGUUCAACACCAUCACCACGGAGCGACGCAUGACGGAGGCACGGGCAGCGGCAGUCUUCACACAGGUGCUGUCUGCCAUAGCCUGCCGUGUGUGUGUGUGUGUGUGUGUGUGUAUUUACCUAGUUGUGAAAUACAGGAAAAGAACUGUACUAGGCUCGUGCUGUCCCGUCUCCAUAACA